rnacentral:lncRNA from 1 species
CAAACUUGAAUGAAAAGAAAUGAACCUCAUGUUUAUAGCAGCUUUAUUCAUAAUUGCCAAAACUUGGAAGCAACCAAGAUGUCCUUGAGUAGGUCUGAGUGCCCGAAACAAUUUCUGCCGCCUGAGUUGCUGGGAAUUCAGAUUAGUUGCUAUCAAACCAACCCUCUAACGGAAUCCGUCAGCCACUGCACACAGCGAGAGGAGGGAUCUUGCAAAGCUGGGGUUACACAUCAAGAUGGAAUUGAAGGAAACAAUUUCAAUGCAAGGAACUGGAGAGAGAUCACAAGGUUAUAAGAUUCAUAUGACAACCGUGUCACCUAAAGCAAGCAAAACAAGCUCUUGUAUGACAGUUGGGACACCUGCUGAUGACUGGCACGUAGGCUGAAAUUUCCACUAAGGGAAAUCGCUAUAAAAAUUGAUGAGAA